GGAGGGGCCAAUACUGAAAAGUUGGCCCCAAAGGAGUUAAUUUUAGUUUUACCAUUAACUUCAAUGAGGCCAGGAAUUCAGAUUUUUUCAUGUCUGGUUAUAUGGGUCUGCUUCUCCUUUCUCUCUCUGAUUGUGAUGCCAUACUAAUUUAUAGUAGUUUAUGUGAGAGGGCAAUCAGACCCAGUUUGGUCUACUGGCAGGCAGGGAAAGAAACGCAAAAAGUAAAAUAUCAGCAAUGUCAAACUGUCAUACAGGAUUUCAUAAUGAACACCGUCUGGAUGUUUAGAAAGAGGAGGAAGGCAGAAGGCUUGUUGCUGCAUGCUGGGUUUGCUCAAGCAAACACACACCAAAGGCUGGCAAGGAUUCCUGAUGACAGAAAGGUUAAUAAAGGAAGUGAGCAGGGAAGGAGGCUGAAGAGAGAACUUGGAGAACAUUCAUUUUUUAAAAGAGAUUUUUCAUCAGCAGGCUUGUGUUUUUGCUUUCAUGCUUUCAAGAAUUAUUAAUUCACUGAAAAAGUGAGAUGAUCCUUACCACAAACUGCCAGUGCUAAUUUGAAAGCCAGUGGGAGUUAUGCAAAGGUGGUUCUAAACUGAAGUGUGGUUUGCAAGUCAUGAUGCGGACACAAAAAGAAAAAUGAAGAGUAACCCCAGCCUUUAUGAGGCUUUCAUCCUUUUUUUUUUUGGUUUGAAGCAGUUUUCACUUCCCUUCCUGUCGUUAGAUGAUACUGCUAUUGCAC
rnacentral:lncRNA from 1 species